CGGGGCGUGGCGCAGCCUGGUCAGCGCGCCUGUUUUGGGUACAGGAGGUCGUGGGUUCGAAUCCCGCCGCCCCGACCA
rnacentral:tRNA from 1 species